GGCUGGUCAUGACAUCCACAAACUUGGACUGCUGCUCGCAAAUGAUACGGGUAAUGCGCAGCCUGUCCUCGUGGGUCAGCAGGUUGAGAUAGUUAUGCGCCAGUUCGUUACUGAGGAUGUUCGUACCGUCAUUGAUACGCAGGAUACAAAUUCCUACCGGUGCCGAAGCCACAAUUUUGCGGUUGAAUUGCUCGUUCUCUUCCAACUGGAACGCAUUCACUUCCGCUGGCAACAGCAUUUUCCGCUCAAACACCAGCGCCAGCACAAACAGCAAGAUAGCCGAUAGCAUAUUCAGCACUAGCAUAUUGAUCAUCAAGGCGCUGAUAUGGGAGAGCAGCACCUUUAACGGCAGCGAAUACACGAUACUGAAUGACGUCGGCGGCAGCGACUUCUUCAAAAUGAGUUCAUCAUAACCAUUCACAUAGCCGAAAUAGUUAUGAUCGGAGGGAUAGCCAUCUACCGACGAAGCGUAACGCCCUUUAUCAUCGG
rnacentral:ncRNA from 1 species